rnacentral:lncRNA from 10 species
AGAGAAAUAAGAGAGCCUUGGAAUUUAAGAUGUCCUAGACUGUGGAAGUAUUAUUAUUCCACUGCUCUAGAUUGAAUGUUUGUGUUCCCCUAAAUUCACAAGUAAGGCCUAAUCCCUAGUGGGAUAGUAUUAGGAGAUGAGGCCUUUGGGAAGUGAUUACAUGAAGAGUGGAGCCCUCAUGAAUGGGAUUAGUGCCCUUACAAAAGAGACACCAGAGAGAGCCCUUGCCCCUUCCACCAUGUGAGGACACAGCAAAAACGUGGCCAUCUAUGAACCAGGAAGAGGGCCCUCACCAGACACUGAGUCUGCCACCACCUUGAUGUUGGACUUCUCAGCCUCUAAAACUGUCCUGAUGUUCUGGUUUGGAAAAGAAAUGUGUGGUCAAUGGAAUCCACAGACAUGUGCUUAGGGCUGGUUCAGAUAACCUGCUCUGCAGAUCUUUAUGGGAUGACAGGGACCAUUGCUUUGAUGUAUCAUUGAUUAAUAAAAGAAAGCUGCAGAGCAA